CAUUAACACCAUUAGCUCCCCAAAGAAGUUCGCUGACGUGUGUAAACAGUGUGUAGGAGUUGUGAAGCAAUGCAUUUCGUAAUUGCUGAUCUUUACUCCAUUUACCAGUGGAGCGGCUCACUGCCAUGUGAAUGGCAACAUCGCUGUUGCCAUAGCAGCACAUGCUUCGCCAAGAUCACGUUCGAGGAAGAAGGAAGGGAAGAAACUGUACUGAAGGAAGAUAAAAGAGGAAGGCGAGUGAUCAUGUGCACAUGACUGAACGUCAGAACAGAGGGCGUGCUGUGUGACGAGGUUCAAAUCUGAAGGGAGCUCUAAAGUUACACAUCAGAAUAGAACUUGAUCCAUGGUCUCACUGAGCCAUCGGAUUUUACCAAAAAUACCUUAAUUUGUGAUGAACGGAAGGUCUUACGGGUGUGGAACGACAUGAGGAGCUCGUCCGCGUCACAUCAUGUGGCACAUCGACACGCCUUUUCCAGCGCAGCCAUAGAAACCACACAAAUCUGAGCCGUUUGCCUUCCUCAUUUGCAUGAAACAGCUGAGAAACAACAUCUGUGGGAUGUGGAAGCGACAGCCAGACACUGUUCAACUAAAAUCAGCUUACAUGUAACUAACUAGGUAAGCAAACAUGUGACAUCACAGGUGUCUCACCU